rnacentral:tRNA from 1 species
GGGAAAGUGGCUCAGUGGUAGAGCGCUUGCCUUGCAUGCUCAAGGCCCUGGGUUCGAUUCCUCAGUCCCA